UGCAUAGCGAUCUCGAAUGUGAAUAACAAACUAGUUUGUGAAUCAUGCCGCGCGAAUUCUUGGAGUAAAUUGUUCAGGAUCGACGUCACACACUUGCCCGUUUGCUGUCCCGCCGCGGUUACAGACAAUAUCAUUCGCUGCAUAAGACUCUGUGACUCAACAACAAACUUGUGGGUAUGCGGUUUCAGCUGAUAAUAUCCAUACUCACAAUGUACUUGCUCAAUAUUAUAAAUUUGUUUAUAUAAAUAGUCACGUAACCUGGGUUUUUACUUUUCUUUAGAGCCAUGUAGAAAAUUAUUUUUAAAUUUCAUUUCACAAUUAUAUGUCAGAGCUGAUUCAUACAGCUGCGACAACUUUUGGUGGCCGGGCUGGAAUUCCUGUUUUUGGUUCUCGUUCCAUCUUAUGUAGCAUUCUGUAAACGCUUGAAUUCAUCAGAUGAUCGUAAUUUGGCAGCCAUGCUUUCUCCACGACCACGAAUAACUUCUGCCUGGCCUGACAAAACUUCAGCAAUCAUUUCAUCAUUGAAGAAAUCAUUUGGACAUCUCCAUCGUCGUCCUGGACAUAUAUAUCAUGCUGUAAAAUAUUCAAAGUUUCAUUUCGGAAGAGGGAUCACUUUAAUUACAAAGAAGACAUAAUUAAUAUA